UACGUAGGGUGCGAGCGUUGUCCGGACUUAUUGGGCGUAAAGAGCUCGUAGGCGGUGUGUCACGUCGAUCGUGAAAACUUGGGGCUUAACUCUGAGCUUGCGGUCGAUACGGGCAUCACUGGAGUUCGGCAGGGGAGACUGGAAUUCCUGGUGUAGCGGUGAAAUGCGCAGAUAUCAGGAGGAACACCGGUGGCGAAGGCGGGUCUCUGGGCCGAUACUGACGCUGAGGAGCGAAAGCGUGGGGAGCGAACAGG
rnacentral:rRNA from 1 species